AGAGUUUGAUCAUGGCUCAGGAUGAACGCUGGCGGCGUGCCUAAUACAUGCAAGUCGAGCGAACUGAUUAGAAGCUUGCUUCUAUGACGUUAGCGGCGGACGGGUGAGUAACACGUGGGCAACCUGCCUGUAAGACUGGGAUAACUUCGGGAAACCGAAGCUAAUACCGGAUAGGAUCUUCUCCUUCAUGGGAGAUGAUUGAAAGAUGGUUUCGGCUAUCACUUACAGAUGGGCCCGCGGUGCAUUAGCUAGUUGGUGAGGUAACGGCUCACCAAGGCAACGAUGCAUAGCCGACCUGAGAGGGUGAUCGGCCACACUGGGACUGAGACACGGCCCAGACUCCUACGGGAGGCAGCAGUAGGGAAUCUUCCGCAAUGGACGAAAGUCUGACGGAGCAACGCCGCGUGAGUGAUGAAGGCUUUCGGGUCGUAAAACUCUGUUGUUAGGGAAGAACAAGUACGAGAGUAACUGCUCGUACCUUGACGGUACCUAACCAGAAAGCCACGGCUAACUACGUGCCAGCAGCCGCGGUAAUACGUAGGUGGCAAGCGUUAUCCGGAAUUAUUGGGCGUAAAGCGCGCGCAGGCGGUUUCUUAAGUCUGAUGUGAAAGCCCACGGCUCAACCGUGGAGGGUCAUUGGAAACUGGGAAACUUGAGUGCAGAAGAGAAAAGCGGAAUUCCACGUGUAGCGGUGAAAUGCGUAGAGAUGUGGAGGAACACCAGUGGCGAAGGCGGCUUUUUGGUCUGUAACUGACGCUGAGGCGCGAAAGCGUGGGGAGCAAACAGGAUUAGAUACCCUAGUAGUCC
rnacentral:rRNA from 1 species